rnacentral:lncRNA from 1 species
UGAGGGUGAUGAAGGUGGUGAUGGAGGUGGUGAGGGUGAUGGAGGUGGUGAUAGAGGUGGUGAUGGAGGUGGUGAGGGUGAUGGAGGUGGUGAUGGAGGUGGUGUGAGUGAUGGAGGCAGUGAUAGAGGUGGUGAUGGAGGUGGUGAGGGUGAUGGAGGUGGUGACGGAGGUGGUGAGGGUGAUGGAGGUGGUGAUGGAGGUGGUGAGGGUGAUGGAGGUGGUGAUGGAGGUGGUGAGGGUGAUGGAGGUGGUGAUGGAGGUGGUGAUGGUGAUGGAGUUGGUGAUGAUGAUGGAGGUGGUGAUGGUGAUAGAGGUGGUGAUGGUGAUGGAGGUGAUGCUGGAGGAGAUGGUAGAGGUGGUGAUACUGGUGAGGUUGAUGGGAUGUUAGUCGUAGUGGGGUGGAUGAUAGAUGAAGCCAUCUUGCUAUGGUCUAAAUGUUUG